rnacentral:lncRNA from 1 species
CCGCUGUUGCGCGCGAUGGCCAUUCCCAGGGCUCAGCGCUCCAGUCUUACGCAACAGUUUGCAGAACCCACUGUUGAUUUAGGGAUUUGGGGAGCCUUACUUAAAAUUAAGUAAACACAUGAACAAGGGAGUCACUGUCUUUAGAAUAGGACUGUCAUCUGUGACCAGUUCAUCCGUUAAUGCCCGAGUUUCACUGUGUUUUUUACCAGAUCCUCUUUGCACGCGUCUCCGCGCCUCGAACGCCGUCCUGCUCCUGCUCCUGCUCCGGGCAGAGGAACAAAGGGGAGCAGCUGAGGUUCUCUCUGGGCUGGUCCCCAGGAGCUGCCGGUGGAAUGGGUCUGCGGGGGCCCGAGGACUGACAGGUGAGGCCCCCGCAGGGCCUGCGUAGCUUGCCUUUCGCACGUGCUGGUAGGGGAGGGAUGGGAAAGAAUGUUCCGGAAGGCCUGCAGCUGGGCAUUUGGUGAAGGUGACGUGCUGGUGGGGUCCGCAAGGCUCUGGGCCUGGACCCUCCCACCUGCCUGCAGCCCAGCGUGGGGAGGAGCUGGACCAUUGUAACCCCCACCCCCAGUUUUGGCCUGAACACGGGGGCACAAAUCUCUCGAUUUGGGUGGCAAAGCUUCCCUCAGACGCUGCUCUAAAAUGUGCACACGCCUGCUUCUUUUCGGGACAGGAGAGCUUGGACUCUGACAAACUACACAUUUCAAUUUAUUUAUGUUCUAGAACGGCUAAUUAUAAGGACAUGUGGCCACCAGGAGCGACGUGAUUAUUUAUGCUGCUCUCGCCCCGUGGUCUCCACCAGAAGGGGGGUCUGAGGCAGCUGGGGCCCCAGGGCCUUUGUUGGCAGGGCUCUGGGCUGCUUCUAAGCCUUCGGACCGUCCAGACCGAGGUCCAGCAGUCACCUCAUUUCAGGGGCUUGUAUCUGUGCUGUUUGUCGGGACCCCAGACACGGCCCCAAAAUUGCACCGUGAGUGAGCUUCCCGGGGCCCCGUCUCCAACUUCUCACGCACCUGCAGACACUGCGAAUUCGAUGCUGGCCCUCUAACAGCAGAGUCCAGAGCCUCCCGUCCAUGACCUUGCCUGCUUGCACACAGGCCCUUCCAGGGUUUUCUGCAGGGCUGCGGAUGUGAGGGUCGCUCCUCCUUCUCCACCCCUCCCCUCCCCUCCCCUCUCCUCCCCUCCCUUGCCCUCCCCCGCCCCUCCCUUCCCCUGCCCUCCCCUCCCCUCCCCUCCUCCACCCCGCCCCUCCC